ensembl:snoRNA small nucleolar RNA SNORA1
AGUUACUGUAGAAAUUUAAAAAUAAGAAGAUAAUACUGGGGUCCAGAAAUUGUUAAGGUGGCUACAUUGAGACACAGUACUGCUUCUAUCACAGUAAUUUACUGCAGUGGUGACAAUGAGACCUGUAACAUUA